CUAGGACGACGCUGGCGGCGUGCCUAAUACAUGCAAGUCGAACGGUCUUUUCUAUGGAAGCUUGCUUCCACUGAGAAGAUAGUGGCGAACGGGUGAGUAACACGUGGGUAACCUGCCCAUAAGAGGGGGAUAACAUCCGGAAACGGGUGCUAAUACCGCAUAGUUUUUCUUGAUCGCAUGAUUGAGAAAGGAAAGACGGCCUUUGUGCUGUCGCUUAUGGAUGGACCCGCGGCGUAUUAGUUAGUUGGUGAGGUAACGGCUCACCAAGACGAUGAUACGUAGCCGACCUGAGAGGGUGAUCGGCCACAUUGGAACUGAGACACGGCCCAAACUCCUACGGGAGGCAGCAGUAGGGAAUCUUCCGCAAUGGACGAAAGUCUGACGGAGCAACGCCGCGUGAGUGAAGAAAGGUUUUCGGAUCGUAAAACUCUGUUGUCAGAGAAGAACAAGUUGGAGAGUAACUGCUCCAGCCUUGACGGUAUCUGACCAGAAAGCCACGGCUAACUACGUGCCAGCCGCCGC
rnacentral:rRNA from 1 species